rnacentral:rRNA from 1 species
AUUGAACGCUGGCGGCAGGCCUAACACAUGCAAGUCGAACGAGUGGCGGACGGGUGAGUAAUUUCUGGGAAACUGCCUGAUGGAGGGGGAUAACUACUGGAAACGGUAGCUAAUACCGCAUACCAUCCUAUGUUCCCAGAGGGGAUUAGCUAGGAGGUGGGGUAAAGGCUCACCUAGGCGACGAUCCCUACCUCGUCUGAGAGGAUGACCAGCAACACUGGAACUGAGACACGGACCAGACGCCUACGGGAGGCAGCAGUGGGGAAUAUUGCACAAUGGGCGAAAGCCUGAUGCAGCCAUGCCGCGUGUAGGAAGAAGGCCUUCGGAUUGUAAAGUACUUUCAGCAGAGAAGCGUUACCCGCAGAGGAAGCACCGGCUAACUCCGUGCCAGCAGCCGCGGUAAUAC